AAGAUCCUCACACUUUACCUCUUGUUAAAGGCCAGCUAGUACUUAAAAGAACCCCAGUAGAUUGCUUCUUUCAACAGCUUUUGAAGCCGAUAAAAAAAGAAUGUGUCAAAAUGUCUGACAACACCGACCACCAAGAGACAGAUGAAACUGCAGAUACAAGCCAGUGUUAUACAUCACUAAGCAGGCAUGCUUUGAGAGCAUGUGUGUCUGGGGAACUCAGCUUGCUGUAAUUCCAUAAACAUUCGUCUUCCCUGCAGAAUCAAGAGGCUGAAGGGAAUCAAUCAGGUCUCUCCCAUGUGGAUCUUCAGGAACUUUGCCAGAAUUAAACUCUCUGAGUACUCCACUGCUGUCAGAUGUCACUGAGUCACCGGAGGCCGCAAAGUUACUAAGGAUGGGCAGGACACAUGUGCAUAUGAACCACUGUGGCAUAAAUCUUUUCCUUCAGAAAACCAGGCUAGGACC